UGGGGAAUAUUGCACAAUGGGCGCAAGCCUGAUGCAGCCAUGCCGCGUGUGUGAAGAAGGACUUCGGGUUGUAAAGCACUUUCAGCGGGGAGGAAGGCGGUUAGGUUAAUAACCUCAUCGAUUGACGUUACCCGCAGAAGAAGCACCGGCUAACUCCGUGCCAGCAGCCGCGGUAAUACGGAGGGUGCAAGCGUUAAUCGGAAUUACUGGGCGUAAAGCGCACGCAGGCGGUUUGUUAAGUCAGAUGUGAAAUCCCCGGGCUCAACCUGGGAACUGAAUCUGAUACUGGCAAGCUUGAGUCUCGUAGAGGGGGGUAGAAUUCCAGGUGUAGCGGUGAAAUGCGUAGAGAUCUGGAGGAAUACCGGUGGCGAAGGCGGCCCCCUGGACGAAGACUGACGCUCAGGUGCGAAAGCGUGGGGAGCAAACAGG
rnacentral:rRNA from 1 species